rnacentral:rRNA from 1 species
UACGGAGGGUGCGAGCGUUGUCCGGAAUCAUUGGGCGUAAAGGGCGCGUAGGUGGCGGGACAAGCGUGCGGUGAAAGCUCGGGGCUCAACCCCGCGUCGGCCGUGCGAACUGUUUUGCUGGAGCACUGUAGAGGCAGGCGGAAUUCCGGGUGUAGCGGUGGAAUGCGUAGAGAUCGGCAGGAACACCCAGGGGGAAACCAGCCGACUGGGCAUCUACUGACGCUGAGGUGCGAGAGCGUGGGGAGCGAACCGG